rnacentral:rRNA from 1 species
AUGUCGUCCUUCCGCGGCAGCAGCAGCAGCACCGGCGGCGGCGGCGCCGACGACGACGUCCCCGGCGCAUGGCCGACGAGCAUCGGUGUGCCGGAGACGCUGGAGCUCCACCGCUACUGCCUCCCUGUGCCGUCGGGCUGCCGUCUUCCACGCAACUGGAAGAUCGACGCGGAUGGCUCUGCGACGCCGGGUCCCGGCGCGACGGAGGAGGAGCUCCGCAACCACAGCGGCGACCGGCACAAUAUCGAAGGCCGGAAGCGGUUUUGGUGCGGGAAGGACUAUUGGGAGGUCAUGGCCGCCUUCCGCCUUGCGGCGGCCGGCGAGACCCCCGACCUGACGGGCCGCAGCGGCCGUCUUCGCGCACCGCCUCCACCGCACGAUCGCCACAGACGUGGCGGUGGCCACGGUGUGCACCCGGCACCGGCGCCCGCGCCGGCCGCCCCUCCCUCGUCGCCGGGGAUAGACUUGCUGCCGGAGCAGGUCAUCCUCCGCGAGGACGGUGAUCCGGAUGACACGACGGGGUACCACAUGGCCGUACGGGCGUCGGAGGCUGCAGCGGCGGCGGCGGAGGCGAUGAAGGCCGCCGAGAUUGCGGCCGCAAUCCAGGCGGCCGAGGCGGCGCAGCAGGCGGCGAUGGCGGCGCCGGAGUGGCAGCAGGUGCCGCCGGAGUGGCAGCAGGAGUGGGAGCAGGCGCCGGCGGAGUGGCAGCAGGCGCCGGCGGAGGAGGAGGAUUCCGAUGAUGAUCCGGUGGACUGGGACGACCUCGCCAACUGGUCCAGCAGCGAUGUUGACGGCAGCGACGGCCCGGCCGUGAUUGACCUCGUUGAUAGCGACAACGAGUUCAUUAUGCCAUCAAGAAACGGUGCGAUAUCAUUGCGCGCUGAAGAUGUGUUUGAUAUUUUUGGCCUAGUGAACAAGGGCAGAGAUGCCAUGAAAGCUUUAGGUAAAGGGGGGCUAAAGGCGAAAGUGAAGUACUUAUUUUGGGAGAAAGUGCAGCCACUUGAUGACGAGACAUUUGAUCCACUGGCACAUGAGUAUCCGCUGAUGCUUAACUGGCCAGAAGUCGAGGCUAUGAAGCAUGAUGCGUACGACACAUCGUACGUCCACGGGAAUGGGAGGGUUGAUGACAUAAUAAGUGAGAAGCACAGACAGAUGAUAAUUGCUCAAGAGGGGAAAUUUGUGGAGGAAGAAUCUGAGCCAGUUGAUAGAACAGGUCGUUUGCGGAAAAGGAAGGAUAAUAGAGACGAGGCUUCAUCGAGCAAGGACACGACCUUAGAUCAAAUUAUGAAAAGCAUCAAAGAUAUGCAGAAAGAAAUUCGCCUUGUCCCUAAAAAAAUGUGCCGAGUACUGGAGGAGCUGGAGAACAAAGGUCUUGUCUUCAAGACAAAUAGAGGGUUUAGUGAUGUUGAGUUUGUGGAGCACAGUGAGAACUGGAUGAGGAGGUAUGGUCCGUCAAAAUAUUUUCCAGAUGUAAAAUCAACUCCUGUAAAGGACGAUAUGGACAAUGGGGUGGAAGCAUCCUUCACCAAUGGGAACGGGAAGAAGUCUGCACGUGAGAAAGGUAUGCAUCUCAACACACCUGGUACAGGAGAUGAAAGGGACCCCUUCGUUAUUGACGAGAAUGGUAAUUCAACCGACCCAUCUUUUGCAACGGCAGACACGAAUGACUUUCCAGCAGUUACUUCAACCCCCAAGAAUAUAAAUGCAGUGUCAGACGGGUCUAGCGCCGAUAAAUCUGAGGAGAUUAGUAUGGAUAGUCUGAACACAUGUAUUAAAAAAGCGAAAGAAAGUGACACUAAGGAGAAUGAUGGGAAUGCGAAAGAAAGUGGCACUAAGGAGAAUGAUGGGAAUGCGAAAGAAAGUGGCAUUGAGGAGAAUGAUGGGAAACGCAAGAGAAAAAAGUCAAAGUACGUUCUUUCACCCUUCCAGCAGAUCGGUGGACGUAAACGUCCAAAGAAAAGUUUGUUUGGUAUAAGAGACGUUCUGAUUAAUACCGAUUACAUUACCGAGGAUCACAUAGAGGCCGCGAAGGUUUAUAUCAAGACACUAUCAGACUCGGCGAAGCUUAGUAGGAAAACUGUCGUGCACAUGACAGGAAUUGCUGGGGAAACAUGUACACCUGAUAUGCUUCAAUCCAUCAUUGCAAAAAAAUGGUUGCAUGGCGGUGUCAUCAAUAGUUAUUGCAACCAUAUGCAGACCCAUAAUCCUCGUCCUGACCAUCACAUUUUAUCAUCUUGGGUGUCACACUGGCUUAUUCUUCGUGCUGAAGGAAAGGUUAAGAACUCUAAGCACCAUUUUAUAGAGCAUUUCACAAACCAAACUAAAAUGGUGUCUAGAGUUAAUGAGGAGUAUUUCAUUACAGAUAAGGCAUACUUUCCUUUUCAUGUGGAAGAAAGUCACUGGAUAACAAUUCUCAUGCACAACAAGAAAAAAGAGUUUCAAGUUUUAAAUUCUACUGAUAAAUGCAGCAAGGCAGUUCUUAAAAAAAUAAGGCAGCUGAGGGCAGAAAUAGCUAAAGAUACCUUAGAGGUGAACUCCCUUGUACAAAUGGAACAUCCAGACGUAUCUUCGUGGCCAAUAAAUGAGUACGAUAUGCCGUUACAAAAGGAUGGAGUUUCUUGUGGUCUGUUUGUGGUGAAAUGCAUUCAAAAUUGGAACAGAGAUGAAUGGAUAUUUGAGUUUGAUCAAGCUGAGCGUCUCUUCGCUCAAAUACGUUUAACAUACGAUUAUUUUCUGAUAAAUAGUACUACACCCAAGAUCAACUUUGAUAAGAGCGAUGUUAUGGUGAUGGGAUACUCUCCCGCUGAGUCAGUGGCCAUCGCCAAUAGACUUAAUUGCCGCCUGGGCUCGUUCCCCACUACCUACCUUGGGACGCCCAUCAGUGACUCGCGCCUCUUGGCCGCCGAUCUUCGCCCCUCCGUGACCAAGCUCCAGACUAGAUGCGAGCCCUGGCAGGGGAGGUGGCUCUCCAAGGCGGCCCGGACUAUUCUUAUCAACUCCUCCCUCUCCAGCCUCCUCUUAUUUCUUAUGAGUUUCUACAGCCUCCACGAAUCUCUCCAUAAGGAGAUCGCCAAAAUCCAGUCCCGCUUCUAUUGGGCUGGCGAGCACGGCAAGCAGAAGUAUCACAUGGUCAGCUGGCCUGACAUCUGCAAGCCUCGGGAGCAGGGUGGAUUGGGGAUCAUGUGCUCUAAGCGGAUGAAUAUUGCCCUCCUAUCCCGGUGGCUGUGGCGCAUCUCGCAGGGUCAGUGGAUCCGUGGACGGAUCCCAUCCGGUGUGGAGGUCCGCAAGCGUAAUGGCCCAGGCACUGGUAUCUGCCCCCUCUGUGCUGUCCCCGAGGACUCCAACCACAUCUUCUUCGCGUGCGCCUCCGCCCGGUUCCUCUGGAGCUGCUUCCGCGAGAUUGUCGGGGGGGNNNNNNNNNNCAUGUGGCAGUGGAUCCGUGGACGGAUCCCAUCCGGUGUGGAGGUCCGCAAGCGUAAUGGCCCAGGCACUGGUAUCUGCCCCCUCUAUGCUGUCCCCGAGGACUCCAACCACAUCUUCUUCGCGUGCGCCUCCGCCCGGUUCCUCUGGAGCUGCUUCCGCGAGAUUGUCAGGGGGGGUUGGACCCACACCAACUUCCCCGACUUAUUUGCUGAACUCCAAACGUCCCCCUCGUCCUCCCGCCACAUUAGGUGGCUGGAGGUUGGGGUCCUUGCCUGGACUCUUUGGACUGUUCGUAAUAAGCUUGUGAUCGAGCGUACCCCUCUCCGUCGUGCUACUGACGCUCUCUACAAAUUCUCGGGUUUCCUGCAGCUUUGGCGGCCGCUUAGCCGUCCCCUGGAGCGCGACGCCAUCUCUGCCUUCAUCGCCGAUCUUCGCUCGAUGGCCGUCCGCCUUUCGCCACCGCCGCCGCCGCCGCCGCCGGAGCCUGACUAA